ensembl:lncRNA novel transcript
CAGGUUAGAACAGAUAUGCCCAGUAAUUUGCAAAUAAGAAAUGACACUCUUUUUCUGAGAAACUAUAAUGUGUGGACAUAGGAACUGUCUUUGUGAAGUUAAGAUGAGGCCCCUAAUCCGUUGUGACUGGUGUCCUUCUAAGAAGAUGGCCGCAUAAAGGCAGAGAAACACAGGGAAAAUACCAUGUGACGGUCUCUGAGGACGAUGUUAAAGUGCCGCAUCUACAAGACAAGAAAUGCCAAAGACUGCCAGCAACUACCAGGGUCUAGGAAGAGGCAAGAAGGACUCUUUCUCUACAAGUUUCAGAGGGAGUGCAGUGCUGCCAAUACCUUGAUUUCAAGCUUGUAGCUGCCCAAACUGUAAAACAAUACAUUUCUGUUGUUUUAA